rnacentral:rRNA from 1 species
UGGGGAAUUUUGGACAAUGGGGGAAACCCUGAUCCAGCCAUCCCGCGUGUGCGAUGAAGGCCUUCGGGUUGUAAAGCACUUUUGGCAGGAAAGAAACGUCGCGGGUUAAUACCCCGCGGAACUGACGGUACCUGCAGAAUAAGCACCGGCUAACUACGUGCCAGCAGCCGCGGUAAUACGUAGGGUGCAAGCGUUAAUCGGAAUUACUGGGCGUAAAGCGUGCGCAGGCGGUUCGGAAAGAAAGAUGUGAAAUCCCAGAGCUUAACUUUGGAACUGCAUUUUUAACUACCGGGCUAGAGUGUGUCAGAGGGAGGUGGAAUUCCGCGUGUAGCAGUGAAAUGCGUAGAUAUGCGGAGGAACACCGAUGGCGAAGGCAGCCUCCUGGGAUAACACUGACGCUCAUGCACGAAAGCGUGGGGAGCAAACAGGAUUAGAUACCCUGGUAGUCCACGCCCUAAACGAUGUCAACUAGCUGUUGGGGUCUUCGGACCUUGGUAGGCGCAGCUAACGCGUGAAGUUGACCGCCUGGGGAGUACGGUCG